UAAGCGGAGGAAAAGAAACCAACAGGGAUUGCCCUAGUAACGGCGAGUGAAGCGGCAACAGCUCAAAUUUGAAACCUGGCGCAAGCCCGGAUUGUAAUUUGUAGAGGAUGCUUCUGGGCAGCGGCCGUUCUAAGUUCCUUGGAACAGGACGUCAUAGAGGGUGAGAAUCCCGUAUGCGACCGGCGCGCACCCUCCACGUAGCUCCUUCGACGAGUCGAGUUGUUUGGGAAUGCAGCUCUAAAUGGGAGGUAAAUGUCUUCUAAAGCUAAAUACCGGCCAGAGACCGAUAGCGCACAAGUAGAGUGAUCGAAAGAUGAAAAGCACUUUGGAAAGAGAGUUAAAAAGCACGUGAAAUUGUUGAAAGGGAAGCGCUCACAACCAGACUUCGCGGGGGUGUUCCGCCGGUCUUUUGACCGGUCCACUCGCCGCCGCGAGGCCAACAUCGUCUGCGGCCGCCGGAGAAGACCCGAGGAAUGUAGCUCCUAGAGUGUUAUAGCCUUGGGUGAUGCGGCGCGCCGCGGGCGAGGUCCACGCUUCGGCAAGGAUGUUGGCGUAAUGGUUGUCAGCGGCCCGUCUUGA
rnacentral:rRNA from 1 species